rnacentral:piRNA from 1 species
AUCAGGAAGAGUUGAAUAAGACUA